rnacentral:piRNA from 1 species
UGCCACGUUUUGUCAUUGUGAGAUGACAGG